rnacentral:SRP_RNA from 2 species
ACUGGGAGCGUGGCGCCUCCUGUAACGUGAGCUACACACGGGUCGGAUUACGGACUGACUUGAGGUUGGGAUCGACUGUGCGCCGUGUAAAGGUCCACGUUGACGGAACGUCCGCACUAAACUGACCGUCAAUAUGGGUGCAAUGGGGGAGCCCGAUGCAUUCAGGUUGGCUAAAGAGAGAUGAACCGAGCGAGGGGUGAAAACCAGCAGCUAAAAGUCUCCGCGGUAAGCAGUAGUGGGAUCGCGUCCCGGAGUGGACCUUCGGUGCCAGCCUGACCGACAUGGUCAAACCGUAAUCUUU